UACGGGGGGGGCAAGCGUUGUUCGGAAUUACUGGGCGUAAAGGGCUUGUAGGCGGCCAACUAAGUCAGACGUGAAAUCCCUCGGCUUAACCGGGGAACUGCGUCUGAUACUGGAUGACUGGAGUGUGGGAGAGGGAUGCGGAAUUCCAGGUGUAGCGGUGAAAUGCGUAGAUAUCUGGAGGAACACCGGUGGCGAAGGCGGCAUCCUGGACCGGUAUUGACGCUGAGGCGCGAAAGCUAGGGGAGCAAACGGG
rnacentral:rRNA from 1 species